GAUUGUAGGAGCUGUACUUCUUAGCCUUAACCUUUUAAGUUAACUAAAAUAUUUUUAUUCACAAUCA
rnacentral:tRNA from 1 species